rnacentral:misc_RNA from 1 species
AUUUGCUUGAAAAUACAUCGAGCAAAUCUUGACCAUCACUGGAGGUGGGCGGGAAUCAAGUUUGAGGUGGCCAACCUUGAUCACCAGGAGCAGGCCCCAGAGUCAGUGACCCGACUGGGGAAGUGGCCUGUCAAGUGUUGGGUGGCCACUGACAAUGACCCUACCUAUGACUGGUAGGAUUUCCCCUGUUUCCUCUGAACUGAUGAAACGUGACAUGAUGACAGGUAACCAUCUUAGAUGGCUUACCCACUCAGCUUGCCCAUGCCUUACACCUCCCAGACUAUGACAAGGACGGACAGACAGUCCCAAACCUGACCAUACGCCUCUCCCUGAGAGGGUGGCCAUGGGAAACAUGGUUUACCAUGUUAGGUUCCACACCCUCCAGUCAUGCACUGCACCCGCUGCCUCCUGUUCGGUCACGGCAACAUUUCCUGCAAUGGGUGUGCCCACUGCAGGAAAUGCAGUGGCUACCAUGACACUGACAGGUGUGUGAGGGAGAAUCAUUGUUUGUUUUGUGGUCCUGGCCACUGUCCCACAUCUAAACAGUGCCCAGCUCGCCUCCAGGAAGUGUAGCUGCAGGAACUGCAACAUGACAAGGCCUACUCCCUCAUGGACAUCAAAAGAAAAAUGAGAGGCAUCCUCCCGGGUAUUUUCUCACCCUCCAAGACAGGACACCCUCAUCCUCCUCCCCUACACCUCACUCACCCUUGCACACCAAGAACCUCACCUCAGGCCCCACCCUUGCUCCUCGCCCUACAACCUUCCAGGCUUCUCUCACAGCUCCCAUCCUUGAUCCUAUCCCUGCCCCUACCAAACCCCUGAGCCCCAUUAUUAGUGUGGUACCACUCACUGCUCAGUCACCCUCACCCAAAGCCCAACGGACUUGCCACCACCACAAACCACACCACACGGUCACACCACAUCGCACCACCAGACCCUCCGUCAUCCCCAAGGGCGCCUACAGGACAGACAUAACAGAUGCUGGAGAAUUCGUACCACAGCCAGCAGCCCAGCAGCCCUUGCCCUCACUUGGGUGGUGCUGACUAUGUUGCAUACCAGCUUGACAUCAGUCAGGUCCCAUUGGUUUCCUAACAUCCAGGGAAUGGGAGUGUGAAAGAUCCCAUGAAGCAGCAGUGGUCCUCUCACACAACAUUGGUUUGGUGACAUCAUAAACUUACCUCUCAGAUAAGCAAUGGAUAAUACGUGUAUUUCUAUUUGAACAUGGAUACAAAUUAAAUUAAUAAUUAAUGUAGAGUAAAUUAGUUGGCAUUGCUCUCUUGUCCUAAGAUGGUUUCUUCCACAACAGUGUGCCUUGGAGUGGUCCUGGUUUAGUGUUGCAUCAGUUGGCCCCAGAAGCUCUCCACCCAGCUGACUAGACUAAUAAGGUGACAGCUCCCCCCCUAGAAUAAGGCCCACACACCUUUACUGAUUGGCAGCUUCACGAGGGACGAGGCAGAGGACGUGAUUAAUGCCACCAACAGACAACUUAGUGACAUCCUGGCCUGGGGACGUCAGUGGCAAGUCAAGUUUGCUGCCGAGAAGACCCAAGCCAUGGUGAUAUUACGUUCAAGGGAGGAUGCCAGGCGACUGGAGGGGAAGCUGAAGUUUGGUGACGACACCCUCGCCUUACAGGACUCCGUCAGCAUCCUGGGGAUGGAGGUUGACUCCCAACUCAGCUUCGCACGCCAUCUGGAGGGUGUGGCACGCAAGGCCUCCUUGAGGGUGACAUUGCUGCGGCGAGUCCAGCACUUCCUCAACGCUGACGGCCUCCUGAAACUCUACAAGGCCCAGGUGAGGCCCAUCAUGGAGUACUGUCUCCUCACAUGGAUGAGCAGUGCCCAGUCCCACCUCUCCCUGCUGGACAAAGUACAAAGGCGGGCAGAACGCUUAAUACAAGGUGCCAGCAGCAACAACAACAACAUCAACAGGGGCGCCACCACCAUCAUCAUCAGCAGCAGCAGCAGCGAUGCUCCACAAGGCUGCUAGACAGUCUCGAGCACCGCAGGAGAGUUGAUGCCCUGACAGUGCUACACACACCACACCUCGCAGCACUUCAGGUCCCAUGGCGGAGGUCUCAGCACACUACGAGAGCGGUAGUGACUAAUGACCUCCUCCUGGAAGUCCUGAGGACCAGCACUGUGAGGUGCCAGUGCUCCUUCACUUAUGCCACAGCAACACUGUGGUCACCUCUGUGGUGGAUCCCAGGACCAUGUCCACCCAACAGGUGAAAAUGGCAGCCCACAGAUGGUGCUGCACCCACCCACCCUAGUGCCGUGACACUAAAGUGACAGUGACAGUGCUAUGUGUUUUUCACAAUUACCAUUUUCUGUAUAUAUUAUCAUUACUCCAAUUAUAAGGUUUAAGCUUUAAAAUAGGAGAGAGAGAGAGAGGGAGGGAGAGAGAGAGAGAGAGAGAGAGAGAGAGAGAGAGAGAGAGAGAGAGAGAGAGAGAGAGAGAGAGA